rnacentral:misc_RNA from 1 species
CCACCUGCUACUCCUCUCUGAGCUACUUUUCCAGGUUCCACAGGGAGAGGUUCAGCUGUCCGUGGUAGACAUGAGGGUAGAGAAUGAGGUGGUUGGGUUCCACUUACCUUUCUAUCAUCUUGCAGUAUGGAUGUCUCUUGACUGGUACCGUGUAGACUUUUGAGGGCACACAGGAGUCUGCAGAGAGAUACUGGGGACAUUGAGCAGCAGCAGUGGGGUUGGGAGGCAGAAAUGAGGACAGGAACAUUUACCUUGUGUUUCUCUCAGCUUCUCAGAUGACCAAGAUGGUGCUGCAGAUGGUGCUGAGGAUGGAGAACCCACCAAGCCCCGCUAGGAGCCACCUAGACUGGAUGCAGAGCAUGGCCCCAGCACCCGCAGAGCAGACACUGCGAUGACAACGGACGACACAGAAGUGCCCGCUAUGACUCUAGCACCGGGCCACGCCGCUCUGGAAACUCAAACACUGAGCGCUGAGACCUCUUCUAGGGCCUCAACCCCAGCCGGCCCCGUUCCAGAAGCAGAGACCAGGGGAUCCAAGAGAAUUUCCCCUGCAAGAGAGACCAGGAGUUUCACAAAAACAUCUCCCAACUUCAUGGUGCUGAUCGCCACCUCCGUGGAGACAUCAGCCGCCAGUGGCAGCCCCGAGGGAGCUGGAAUGACCACAGUUCAGACCAUCACAGGCAGUGAUCCCGAGGAAGCCAUCUUUGACACCCUUUGCACCGAUGACAGCUCUGAAGAGGCAAAGACACUCACAAUGGACAUAU